rnacentral:rRNA from 1 species
UGGGGAAUAUUGCGCAAUGGGCGAAAGCCUGACGCAGCGACGCCGCGUGAGGGAUGAAGGUCUUCGGAUCGUAAACCUCUGUCAGCAGGGAAGAACGGUCACUGUGCUAAUCAGCAGUGAAUUGACGGUACCUGCAAAGGAAGCACCGGCUAACUCCGUGCCAGCAGCCGCG